UACGUAGGUGGCAAGCGUUGUCCGGAUUUAUUGGGUUUAAAGGGCGCGUAGGCGGCUUUUCAAGUGACGGGUGAAAUCCCUCGGCUUAACCGAGGAACUGCCUGUCAGACUGGAAGGCUUGAGACCGGGAGAGGUGAGUGGAAUUCCCAGUGUAGCGGUGAAAUGCGUAGAUAUUGGGAGGAACACCAGUGGCGAAGGCGGCUCACUGGACCGGAACUGACGCUGAGGCGCGAAAGCGUGGGGAGCAAACAGG
rnacentral:rRNA from 1 species